AAGGUUGUUGAGAGUGCGCAGGUCUGGAAGACGCAGGAGCAGUUUGGAAAAGAGGGAGUUGUCGUCGGGACGGCGGCGGUUGACUAAGAAACCAGCACCACAGCCAUGAAGAGUGCCAACUCAUCUGACUCCAGGCCCAGACAGCUCAGCGAGGAACUGAACUCAAACAUGGCGUCCAGCAAGGAGCCCAUACCAAGACCCCUAAGGGUGCCCAGCGGGUUUCAGGUUUUCUGCAUCCUAUCACAUCCUCUCCGGCGGUCAUGCGUGCAUGCAGGAUGAGCUGAGAGAUGGCUGAGACGCGGUCUCACGUGUUCACAAGCUCUCCCGCCUCUCCUCUCCAAUAAUAGCCCUGGCAUAGUGCCCCAACCAAACUCCAAAACACCUGACCGCCGCUUCACAUGGAUUCCUGACACCGUUCCUGCCCAAACUAAAUCCGCAGUCUCGUGUUAACCGCUUCAACAAUCGCGAGGGUGCCGUGUCAGCUUUGCGAUGAUGUUAGUUCCCCCGCACAAAUGCAUUGCCUGAGAAAGCGGGGCAACGACGAGUCACGUUUUGCUAGAAUGUGCACUGGGGCUUUGUUUAACUUUUUUUACACAGUCGGUCUCUGGACCAAGAGAAUGUGAUUUAGAUCUGCACUGUUUAGAUCACUGGCACCAUGAUUAUUUAACAAUGUAAUCCAGUAGUGGUUUUCAACAGUCAACUUUCAUCAUUUAAGCCAGUCGUAGUUGCUUACUGUCAAGGGUCGUAUGUUGUUUUGAUUCGUUCAAUGCUUCUUUUCAGUCCAAACUUAGGGGAUUUUUGUUAUAUGGGAGUAAACUGUAGCUACAUAAGAUCACUAAUGGCAGACAUGUUCUCAGCAUGAUUUUAGGCAUCAUCUGUAGGCUAUGGCAAAUUGUGUACUUAGUUUUGAAUAACCGUAAAUGCACACACCAUAUUGAUUCACACUGACACAAACCUAUUUAAUGGGACAGUUGACCCAAAAAUUAUCUGAACAUUUUCUCAGCCUCAUGUUCUUGCGAAUGCAUAUCAGUAGCUAGGUCUAUCUAUUUUUAGUUUUUCCCUGUGUAAUGCAUGUUAAUGUUUCCGAUUCACUUUUAUUGUAUUUUCUUGAUUGUUAAAUAUCUCAACAUGAAAGCAAAUGAUAACAAAAAUUAAAUUUGUAGGCGAACUAACCCUUUAGUAACUGUGUACAAUGAUAAAUGACUAGAGUAAAUAUUAAACAAUUUUCCACUUAAUGUAAACAAUUUUCCACUUAAUGUCUUUCAAUCUGUGUUUUAUGGUAAAUACAAAUAAUUUGGA